rnacentral:lncRNA from 1 species
CAAAUUUAUUUCCAUUCAGUAUUUGGUCUCUUCUCUCAUAUUUCACUCCAACCACAUAUAUAUUAUAGGUAAACUUCAAAUACCACUCCUAUGGUUUCGCAUUUUUCCACUUUAAUAUCCAGUAGUUUAAAGUGUAUCAGUGUAGUAGUAUGUGGUUUCAUUUUUCUCAUUUCAUCAGCUCCUUUGUUAACUUUUGGUUAAAUUAUAUACAAAAACUUUAGAUACCCUACUUAUAAUUUAUCGAAUAUUUACUUUAGUACCAUUUAGUUUUAACUUUGUCACUGAUUUAAUAAAAAAAAUUAUAAUAGGGAAUAAUAGAAAGAGAAAAAUAAAAUUAUAGGGUACGAAAGUAAUACACUUUAAACCAUAAGCUACUAAAGUGAGAAAGUGCGAAACCACAUGGAUAGCGAUUGAAAUUUUUUCUAUAAUUUAUUGAAUAUUCAUUUUAGUAUCUUUUAGUUUUUUACUUUGUCACUGAUUUAACGAAACAAAUUAAUAGAAAAAAUAAUAAAAAGAGAAAAAUAAAAUUACAAGAUACGAAAGUAAUACACUAGCUUUAAAGCAUAAACUACUAAAGUGAGAAAGUACGAAAUCAAUGUAGUAUUUAAAGUUUUUUCUAUAUUAUAUCAUGUUAUGUUGUAUGCGACCUUCU